UAUUGCGAAUUUUAACUACACACACAUUUCGUCACAGACGCAAGGGUCCUUGUGGGGUUUUCCCAUUUGGUUGUGGAUGGGAAAUGUGGAGGCGUAAC
rnacentral:sRNA from 1 species